AGUCAAUAGAUACCCUGGUAGUCCAUGCCGUAAACGAUGAUUGCUAGGUGUGGGGGGUCUGACCCCUUCCGUGCCGGAGUUAAACACAAUAAGCAAUCCACCUGGGGAGUACGGCCGCAAGGUUGAAACUCAAAGGAAUUGACGGGGGCCCGCACAAGCAGUGGAGUAUGUGGUUUAAAAUUCGAAGCAACGCGAAGAACCUUACCAGGUCUUGACAUCCACCGAAUCCUGUAGAGAUACGGGAGUGCCCUUCGGGGAACGGUGAGACAGGUGGUGCGUGGUUGUCGUCAGCUCGUGUCGUGAGAUGUUGGGUUAAGUCCCGCAACGAGCGCAACCCUUGUGAAUAGUUGCUACGAAAGAGCACUCUAUUCAGACCGCCGUUGACAAAACGGAGGAAGGUGGGGAUGACGUCAAAUCAUCAUGCCCCUUAUGACCUGGGCUACACACGUACUACAAUGG
rnacentral:rRNA from 1 species